rnacentral:rRNA from 1 species
GAUGAACGCUGGCGGCGUGCCUAAUACAUGCAAGUCGAGCGAACGGACGAGAAGCUUGCUUCUCUGAUGUUAGCGGCGGACGGGUGAGUAACACGUGGAUAACCUACCUAUAAGACUGGGAUAACUUCGGGAAACCGGAGCUAAUACCGGAUAAUAUUUUGAACCGCAUGGUUCAAAAGUGAAAGACGGUCUUGCUGUCACUUAUAGAUGUAUCCGCGCUGCAUUAGCUAGUUGGUAAGGUAACGGCUUACCAAGGCAACGAUGCAUAGCCGACCUGAGAGAGUGAUCGUCCACACUGGAACUGAGACACGGUCCAGACUCCUACGGGAGGCAGCAGUAGGGAAUCUUCCGCAAUGGGCGGAAGCCUGACGGAGCAACGCCGCGUGAGUGAUGAAGGUCUUCGGAUCGUAAAACUCUGUUAUUAGGGAAGAACAUAUGUGUAAGUAACUGUGCACAUCUUGACGGUACCUAAUCAGAUAGCCACGGCUAACUACGUU